UCCGUAGGUGGAUCAAUAAGUCAGAGGUGAAAUCCUGCAGCUUAACUGUAGAACUGCCUUUGAUACUGUUGAUCUUGAGUCAUUAUGAAGUGGUUAGAAUGUGUAGUGUAGCGGUGAAAUGCAUAGAUAUUACACAGAAUACCGAUUGCGAAGGCAGAUCACUAAUAAUGUACUGACACUGAGGGACGAAAGCGUGGGGAGCGAACAGGAUUAGAUACCCUGGUAGUCC
rnacentral:rRNA from 1 species